CAACGCGACCCCAGGUCAGGCGGGGACACCCGCUGAGUUUAAGCAUAUCAAUAAGCGGAGGA
rnacentral:rRNA from 1 species